AACGAACGCUGGCGGCAGGCCUAACACAUGCAAGUCGAACGAAGCCUUCGGGCUUAGUGGCGGACGGGUGAGUAACACGUGGGAACGUACCUUUUGGUUCGGAAUAACGCAGAGAAAUUUGCGCUAAUACCGAAUGAGCCCUUAGGGGGAAAGAUUUAUCGCCGAAAGAUCGGCCCGCGUUGGAUUAGGUAGUUGGUGUGGUAAAGGCGCACCAAGCCUACGAUCCAUAGCUGGUCUGAGAGGAUGAUCAGCCACACUGGGACUGAGACACGGCCCAGACUCCUACGGGAGGCAGCAGUGGGGAAUCUUGCGCAAUGGGCGAAAGCCUGACGCAGCCAUGCCGCGUGAAUGAUGAAGGUCUUAGGAUUGUAAAAUUCUUUUACCAGGGACGAUAAUGACGGUACCUGGAGAAAAAGCCCCGGCUAACUUCGUGCCAGCAGCCGCAGUAAAAC
rnacentral:rRNA from 1 species